UUUCUCUCUACCAGUGAUGCUCAUACAUAUUCCCUUCUGUUGACUCCUUUUAGUGGGGAUGUAACUUUCACUGGAGAGAUGAUUCACGCUAUUUAAUUUCUUUAACCAGCUGAUCAUGAGUCACAAGAGCCUGUCAGAGGCCCAGUUCUUCAGCUUACUUACCUGAGAAGAGGAAUGAGCAAAUUCUGCCUUUGUGUCCAGUGGGCUGAUGGAUCCAGAAAGAUGAAAACAGGGAGAACAGCUCUGAUUUUAACAGUAACAGUUCUCCUGACUUCAAGAAAGGAGAAGGCACCUACGCAGCCAUGGGGCUGUUACCAUGCCAAGGGACAAGAGCAGGUUUGCCUCAUUCAGUGCUUCUGCUCUGGAUCUACAUCCCCUCACGCUGCUCCACACAGACUGAGAGCCACAGGGACUGUAACACAUAAAUCUGGAGAGGCUUUACCCUUGAGUGCUGCUCUGAAGGGACUGGAUACUAAUGUGCAACUACCUGGAAGGGGACGUGUGCCACACUACUGCUUUCCAGACAGGCGUCAAAGGAAUCAGCGGAACAUCCCUUCCCUUAUGACUAUGGAUGGCUUGGGUUGAAAUGGACCUCAAAGAUCAUCUAGUUCCAAACACCUGCCAUGGACAGGGUUGCCAACCACCUGAUCAGGCUGCCCAGGACCCCAUCCAACCUGGCCUUGAAUGUUUCCAGGGACGGGACAUCCACAGCUUCUCUGGGCAGCAGUGCCUCAACGCCUUAUGAGUAAAGUAUUUCUUCCUAACAACUAAUCUAGACCUCCCCUCUUUCAGUUUA
rnacentral:lncRNA from 1 species